rnacentral:rRNA from 1 species
AAUGAACGCUGGCGGCGCGCCUAAUACAUGCAAGUCGAGCGAGAAGACGUAGCAAUACGUUUGUAAAGCGGCGAACGGGUGAGGAAUACAUGGGUAACCUACCCUCGAGUGGGAAUAACUAGCCGAAAGGUUAGCUAAUACCGCGUACGCUUCUUGGACUUCGGUUCAGGGAGGAAAGCGAUGCCGAGGGUAUCGCGCUCUUGGAUGGGCUCAUGUCCUAUCAGCUUGUUGGNGAGGUAACGGCUCACCAAGGCUUCGACGGGUAGCUGGUCUGAGAGGACGAUCAGCCACACUGGCACUGCGACACGGGCCAGGACUCCUACGGGAGGCAGCAGUAAGGAAUAUUGCGCAAUGGGCGAAAGCCUGACGCAGCGACGCCG